AUUGAACGCUGGCGGCAGGCCUAACACAUGCAAGUCGAGCGGAUGAAGGGAGCUUGCUCCUGGACUCAGCGGCGGAAGGGUGAGUAAUGCCUAGGAAUCUGCCUGGUAGUGGGGGAUAACGUCCGGAAACGGGCGCUAAUACCGCAUACGUCCUGAGGGAGCAAGUGGGGGGUCUUCGGACCUCACGCUAUCAGAUGAGUCUAGGUCGGAUUAGCUAGUUUGUGGGGUAAGGGCCUACCAAGGCGACGAUCCGUAACUGGUCUGAGAGGAUGAUCAGUCACACUGGAACUUAGACACGCUCCAGACUCCUACGGGAGGCAGCAGUGUGGAAUAUUGGGCAAUGGGCGAAAGCCUGAUCCAGCCAUGCCGCGUGUGUGAAGAAGGUCUUCGGAGUGUAAAGCACUUUAAGUUGGGAGGAAGGGCAGUAAGUUAAUACCUUGCUGUUUUGACGGUACCAACAGAAUAAGCACCGGCUAACUACGUG
rnacentral:rRNA from 1 species